rnacentral:rRNA from 1 species
AUUGAACGCUGGCGGCAGGCCUAACACAUGCAAGUCGAACGAGUGGCGGACGGGUGAGUAAUGUCUGGGAAACUGCCUGAUGGAGGGGGAUAACUACUGGAAACGGUAGCUAAUACCGCAUACCAUCAGAUGUGCCCAGAUGGGAUUAGCUAGUAGGUGGGGUAAUGGCUCACCUAGGCGACGAUCCCUAGCUGGUCUGAGAGGAUGACACGCCAAACUGGAACUGAGACACGGUCCAGACUCCUACGUGAGGCAGCAGUGGGGAAUAUUGCACAAUGGGCGCAAGCCUGAUGCAGCCAUGCCGCGUGUAUGAAGAAGGCCUUCGGGUUGUAAAGUACUUUCAGCGAGGAGGCGUUACUCGCAGAAGAAGCACCGGCUAACUCCGUGCCAGCCGCCGCGGUAAUUC